rnacentral:lncRNA from 1 species
ACAAAGGGUAGGGUGAGGGAAAAGAAAAGGGGGGAAGCAACUAAAUUGAAGGCUUCGCUCCCAGAUCGCUUCGUGAGCUCAUUUAGUAGACAGCGAGUGUGCGCCCCUUUAGAGAAGAGAUAGGGGCGAGUACUACACGAGCUCGUAAGUCAAGUACGGAACGAGCCUUGUCUACGAAGCAGAGCGACCUCGUCUUGCUUGCUUCUGGCGAAGCUUCUAGCACUGGAUAAUAGGCAUGGCAGGAAUACGACUUUUUAGGUCGACCACUACACUACACAGAAGCAAUAGCAAAGCCAUGCCGUAUAAAAGGCGAGCAGCCCUUAUAGCAAUAGCAAACAACCUACUUAUAGCCCUUCCCAAUUUCCAGUAGUAAACUUCCCAAGUUUAAGCAGGAUAACCCCCUCUCUAUUCUUCUCUUCAUGUGUGUGGGCUGCCUACCCCGUCCCGAAUAGACGAACAGGAACAAGCUGAAGAAGCGAGAGAGAUUUGAGAUUCCAUAAGUAACUCAAUGCUAAGAAAGAAGGGAUUGGAAGAAAAAAAUGAAAUGCGAACAACCGCGCUGGUUGUAAUAGAUCGACUUUCAUGCUAGUUCUUGCUCCAGCAUGAAAGUUCCAUUUCAGGGAAGGACGACGUACUAUGAUACUUUCUGUUUUGUCGAGCCUUGCUUUGGUCUCUGGUUUGNU